CGACAUUUCUAUUCAUUAAAAAGCCCAAAGGGCAAUACACAAGUGGUGUAAAUUAGACAGAGCCCAAUAUAAAACCCAGAUAGAGAUUUAACAUACACGAAACACGUGUAAUUUAACAAGUAACCCUAAAGAACAAAAUGAAAACACGUGUCUUGAAGGAUAAGUCUUGACUUUGAGCGGCGCCGCUUCAGAUCCGACGAAGACCGCCGGCGAGUUUCCCGAUCUUCAAACCAGCUGCCACAAGACUCCGAUUCUUCAAUUAUCUCGCACCAUUGUAACCUCUUCCAGCACAAUUUCUCCAACAAAGAUGAUAGAAACUUCCUUGAAUCGCCAAAGUAAAUCCAACGAAAAGUUUGAAGGAUUUGACAGCUAAAAAGCCUUAACCAAAUUCUCAAACAGAUCGAACACACAAUUCUAAAAUUUGAAAGAGAAACUCUAACCUAUCUCAAGAGGUAGAGAUUGACUACUCCCCAAAUAGAAGAAUCGAGCAAAGCGAUAACAGAAAGCAACUUUAUUUCAAUUUAACAGGUCAGAGAAAGAGGAGAAGGUGAAAAUCCGAAAACGGAAAUCUUUAGUUUCAUUGCUGGAAAAAACCGAAUAAAUCUUCAAAUAGAAUAGAAACUCGCUCCACUUAGGAUUAGCGAUGUAAACUAUUCCUAAAACAAGAAGAAUCGUUCGAUUCCAGCAGAAAAGAGAAUCAAAUCUUUAAAACCAAAUAUCCCCAUCUCUUUCUAAAGAAAAUCCGAUAAUCGGAAAGCAAAACGUUAAAUCCGGUCAUCGCCGGAAAGUUAUUAUCCGAUAAACGGGAGAAAAGAUCCAGAUUAAGCCGGAAAACAUCCGAUAUUGAUCGGUAUUUACAUUAAAAUCGGAGAAAAAGCUCUCUCUCUCUCAAGGAUAGAGAUGUGAGAAGAGAGAGAGAGAAAAAAACUCCCCUGAAAAUGGGGAAGCAAAAUGAGACUUCAGUGUUUUAA
rnacentral:lncRNA from 1 species